ensembl:lncRNA
GGUUUUAUCACCCAUUCUGGGGUGGUUUCACAGGGGAGAAAGGGUGGGUCUAUACGACCUUGGCUACCCCUAGACUCUAGUUAGUCUGAGACUCUUCCAGGGUAACUUGUAGGUUGAAGUCAGUUUUUAAUACCCUCCUUCAAAGACAAAGCCAGAACCCUAGGAAGUUUCAACUCUAUUACAAUGUACUUGACUUGAAACUGUCACUAAACGCUGAUAGUCAUAAAAUGCAGAGCAAGCCAGUGAGCGAGCAAGCAUGCAGGAGUGAGCAAGCCACAUCUGUUGAACGGUGAACCCCAAGAGUUCACUUACCCCAAUUCCCUCCACAAAAGAUUUCUAUUGCACGAAAGUGUCCGGGAGUUGGGUUGUCACCAGCUGGGCAGUAUCAUUCCCCUGGGAUGGGAGAACUCAGCGUGGAUCCAUAUUGAGCUUCUCAAAUGAUCUAGUGUGGAUGCAAAUUCAGCAGUUGCUUCCUGGAUGACAGAAAUCCACACUGGCAUCUCCCAGCAGGGGCCUGAACCACUGCCCACAUCCUCCCUGACUCCUCCGCUGAUGGCCCCUCUGCCUCUGGCAGCACCACCUCAGCCUCCAUCUGCUUUCCUCUCGGCCCUGCUCCCAGAAGAAAGCAGUCAGGCUAAAGGGCUACAAGAUAUUUGCUGUCAGGCUGUUGCCUGAGGCUCUGACACCUUGGAGGGAACUUCCAAUGCUGCAUGGGUAAGAGUUACUUUUUGAGUGUGCACAAACGGUGCUGGAGCAACCCGGAGACGGGCUGAAGGGAACCAUCCCAUUGGUGUUGUUCACGUCCCCAUUCCUGCUGGAGCCCAUCCUCGGUCCCUCCAGGAGCUAUUUCCACUCUGGACUGUCCCCACCAAAAUGUCUGAAAGGGCCUCUUGCCCUUGGCUCACCACCUCAUCAAAACAGUUUGGAGAGGAGGGCUCCUUCACCCCAUCCAUGGUGUAGAGGCGAGGCGGGGACUCCAACGGGCUCCCGCUCUGGCUUCCUCACCUGUGCCCCUUCUGGGGGGUGUCUUGAGUUUUUAACAAGCAGCCAUUCAGAAACCUGUCGUUUGAGGUUAUUUACUAUUUCAUUCAACUGCUACUUAAGUGUCUCCCAAACGGCAGCCAGCGGGGUACAGCAAUGAAGGAGGCACUCUUUUUCCCAUGGUGUGGAGGAACCCACAAUACAGUGAGGUAAGGUAUAAUAGGGGUUAACCUGGGGCAUUAUGGGAGCUGAUAAGCGGGGCAAGGGGGCUUCUUAGAGGAACUGAUGUCUGAUCUGCAACCUGAGGAUGAGGGGGGAUUAGCUUGGUAAAGGGAGGUAAUAAGACACUUUCCAACAAAGGAGAAUGAGAUAUUUAUUAAAAAUAGGUGAAACUUUGGGCCAGGCCCAGUGGCCUAGUGGUUAAGUUUGGUGCACUCCACUUUGGCAGCCCUGGUUCAGUUCCCAAGCAUGGACCUCCACCACUCUGUUAGUGGUCAUGCUGUGCUGGGUGGCCCACAUACUGAAAAAUGGCAGAAGAUUCACAUGAAUGUUAACUCAGGGCAAAUCUUCCUCAGCAACAAAAAAAGUAAAACCUGAUAGCAAACGGCAUUCAUGAGACAGAAAAAAUGAGAAAGAGAGAAAGAUGGAGAAACAUAGCAACAAACAAAGAGGCAGACAGAUGGAGAGACAGAGAUAGCCAGAGAGAGAUGAAAGGCUGAGGGUGGAGAGAUGACAGAGACAGAGAGAGGACCAUAGAGUCAUGGACUGUUAGAGCUGGAGGGAACCACAGUGAAUGUCAUUUUACAGUAGGAAAAUAAGGCAAAGAAGGGCAUUUGCCAGAGUCAUAAAAGUGUUUAGUUGGAAUGCCAAGUCAGGAACCUCGAUCUCCUAACUUGCAAUAGGUUUGAGAGAGGAAGAGAUAGAGAGGGAUAAGAUGAGGAGAGAGGGAAGUCAGAGAUGGAGGAGAAGACAGCUAGGGAGAGGCACAGAGAGCUGAGAUUCGCUGGCCUCACACUGUCAGGAUUACCAUGUGGAGUGAAAGCAGAGAAAGUUUAGAUGCUGUUUGAGCUGGGUUUCUUUCUUGUCCUUUCUCCUUUACCAUGCUCUCUCUCCCUCUCUUUCCCCUUCCAACCACAUCCUGCCUACCAGUAGAUGUCAGGGAACUGGUUGCCAUGGCUACUAAAUGGCAUUCAAGCAGGCUGAAUUAUUAAACCCGGGUCUUUUCUUUGAAGCCAGGGCCCCAGUGCGAAGUCCCGUUAGGGGGCGCAAUACAGGUGUGGGUCUGUGCCACGGCUGUCCAAGGUGCACCCUUGCUGGUCCGGUGAAGAGAAGAGAGUGCGUCUUGAGCGCUGAGCUCUUUUCCCCGCUGGGUCCAGCAGAGGCCUGGCAGCAGGGAGGAGAUGCGUCUGCCGGGGUGAAGAGCUGGAGAGACAUGCCUUGUGCACUGAACUGAAUCCCUGCAUCCCAGCCUACUUCUCCCACCCGCUCUGCCUAGAACAAAAGGCACUGGACAGCAGCCACGACUCAUUCAAAUGGAAGAAAACCCAAAACCAACAUUUGUGUUAUGUCUGAAAGGACACCAUAUUGUUCUAAUUAGUGGAAAGAGAUGCAAGAAAUAAAAUCAUAGGUGUGUCCGAGGGGUUGUCCUCGGGCAUCUGGGAUUCUGAUGCCUUCUUGGACAGGUGAAGGGACUCUAUCGUGGAACCACACAGUUGAUGGGCAUGGCCCUCUCCCAAGAGCAUGAAUGGGCCAUCACAGAGAGUCUUGUUUGUGGGCACAAUUCUUGUUUGUUUUGAUGAUGGUGGGGGGUGAGUAUGGAUGCUCUUCUCUCAAGGAGAUUCUACGCCAGGAAAACCAUCAGCCUUCUGGUAUCCUAGCUCUUUAAACUUUUCCAUUAUUAAAAGAAACCC